GCUCUAUGGUCGGGUUGUUGUCGCUUUGCCACAUUCCCCAUUUCCUUUCUUAAUUUUAUUAACAAGAUGUUCAUACAUUUUUUUAUAAAAUUGAGAAUGGAAAUGGGGAAUGUGUCAAAGAGACAACAACCCAACCAAAUAAA
rnacentral:sRNA from 1 species